GAUGAACGCUGGCGGCGUGCCUAAUACAUGCAAGUCGAGCGAACGGACGAGAAGCUUUCUUCUCUGAUGUUAGCGGCGGACGGGUGAGUAACACGGGGCUAACCUACCUAUAGGAAUGGGAUAACUUCGGGAAACCUGAGCUAAUAUAGGAUAAUAUUUUGAAACGCAUGGUUCAAAAGAGAAAGACCUUCUUGAUGUCCCUAAUAGAUAGAACCGCGCUGCAUUAGAUAGGUGGUAAGGUAACGGCUUACCAAGGCUACGAUGCAUAACCGACCUGAGAGGGUGAUCAGCCACACUGGAACUGAGACACGGUCCAGACUCCUACGGGAGGCAGCAGUAGGGAAUAUUCCGCAAUGGGCGAAAGCCUGACGGAGCAACGCCGCGUGAGUGAUGAAGGUCUUCGGAUCGUAAAACUCUGUUAUUAGGGAAGAACAUAUGUGUAAGUAAAUGUGCACAUCUUGACGGUACCUAAUCAGAAAGCCACGGCUAACUACGUG
rnacentral:rRNA from 1 species